GUCCAGGGGCGGGAAUCGAACCCACAACCUUCUGCUUACCGAGCAGGUGCCAUGUCCACUAGGCUACCCUGGGA